rnacentral:lncRNA from 1 species
CCUCGAGAAUUUGUUCGAAUUACAAGGAAUAUCCUGGUAAAGUUCGCCUAUUAUUAUUAUUACAUUUUGGAAGGCACGCACCACUUUGUGUUGUUUUAAAGCCAGGCGAGAGAGAGGGAGAACCGGCAGUUCAACUCCACUCCUGCCGAUGCAUCGCCACCACCAGUUCGCUCCCAUGCACACGCGUCUUUGAAGAUCACCCGUCACCUCCACACACGCACACGCUCUCUCUCUCUCUCGCAAGCGCAGCAGCAGCCGCUAGGUUCGAUCUCUUGCUUCCUCCAGGACCGACGACGAAACAUUUAAGCGGGUAAAGAAACGAGGAGCAGGGCCUCAUCAGGGAGAGAGGGAGAGAGAGAGCGACUACGACGAUCGGUAGUCCCUCCAGCAACCCUUUUGUUUCCUUGCUCUCGAUCGAUGUUCGGUUGAUGCCGCCACGUCGUCUCCUCUCGGGUCCCCUGCCAGUUUCUUCUGGGGCUCUCUGAUGUAUCAUGAGCCCCUUUUGUCUGCAUUCGUGAGAUCGAAUUAAAUUCAGGACGUUGGAGUAAAACGGGAGUAAAAUUGCAGUUGAAAAGUGGACAAAAUAGGGAAGAAGAUAAAAGAGCUAGAAUUGAAAGCUAGUAGCCCCCCCCCCUCCCCCUCAAAGGAUCCAAGAAAGUACAAGCUUUUUUCCCUUCUCUCUCGACUUAUUUUUUUCUUCUUCUGCUAUUCGUCAUUAAUUUGGCCAGAUUCUUCUGCUGCUGCUGUUGCUGCUUGAUGCAUGCCCGUUGGGUCCCUUUUCAUGUCGGCUCUCUAAACCGCCGAGAGGAAAUCAUAGCCUUCUUUGCGGGGUUUUCUUUUUCCUUUCCCUUUGGCUUAUUUACUGUGCAGAGAUACGGAGGCAACUGAGAGUUAGCGGCCAUAGAGAGAGAGAGAGAGAGAGAGAGAGAGAGAGAGAGGGAGGGAGGGAGGGAGGGAGGGAGGGAGAGAGAAUACAUCAGUUUUCAUGGAGUCCUAUCUGGGCUUUGCUUGUGGAUUCUGGGUUCUUGAGAAAAUGGUGAUUUUGACCGUACCACAACCCAUUGUUUCCUCCUUUCUCUAGCACCUAAUUCUUCCAAAAGAAGGAAAAAAAAAUCAGAACUUUCUUUCUUUGCUUUCUAGUGGAGCAUAAAGAUGAUUCCGGUCUUUCCCAGUUGGAAUAAUCUAUGCCUGUGGAAGUUCGUGGCCAAAAACCAAGUCUUUUCAGGUCUCUAUUCUCUCUCGCUCUCUCUCUCUCUCUCUCUCUCUCUCUCUCUCUCUCUACACAGUCACGACCUGAACUUGAUUUAAAGCAAGAGGAAAUAACUCGCCUUUUAGGUAUAUUUCUUCUUUUGCAGUGAGGUAAAGAGUUAUGCUGAGGAAG